rnacentral:lncRNA from 1 species
CCUCUUCUUGUUUUGUUUUGUAAAUAUGUUGUGUAUCUUGUCUCUUAGAGUUGUCUUCUGAAUAGAGAGAAAAGAAAAGAGACAAGAUGAAAAAAAGAGAGAAAAAAAAAUACAGAAAAAUGAGAAAAAAAAAUUGUGAAUAAUUGUGAAUAAUGGAGUCGAGAAGAGGAUGAAAUUAGGGGUUGUGGGUGUGUUUGAAUGUGUUUACACUUGUUCCCCAUUGCUCCUCUGUUCCUUAUGGUUUGUAGCUUCUUAUCCAGAUGUAUCCUCC